UACGGGGGGAGCAAGCGUUGUUCGGAUUUACUGGGCGUAAAGGGCGCGUAGGCGCCUGUUAAGUCGGACGUGAAAUCCCUCGGCUCAACCGGGGAACUGCGUCCGAAACUGGCGGGCUUGAAUUCGGGAGAGGGAUGUGGAAUUCCAGGUGUAGCGGUGAAAUUCGUAGAUAUUCGGAGGAACACCAGUGGCGAAGGCGGCUCACUGGUCCAUUACUGGACGCUGACGGUGCGAAAGCGUGGGGAGCAAACAGGAUUAAG
rnacentral:rRNA from 1 species